AUGCCGUAAACGAUGAGUGCUAGGUGUUGGAGGGUUUCCGCCCUUCAGUGCCGGAGCUAACGCAUUAAGCACUCCGCCUGGGGAGUACGACCGCAAGGUUGAAACUCAAAGGAAUUGACGGGGGCCCGCACAAGCGGUGGAGCAUGUGGUUUAAUUCGAAGCUACGCGAAGAACCUUACCAGGUCUUGACAUCUUGCGCUAACCUUAGAGAUAAGGCGUUCCCUUCGGGGACGCAAUGACAGGUGGUGCAUGGUCGUCGUCAGCUCGUGUCGUGAGAUGUUGGGUUAAGUCCCGCAACGAGCGCAACCCUUGUUACUAGUUGCCAGCAUUAAGUUGGGCACUCUAGUGAGACUGCCGGUGACAAACCGGAGGAAGGUGGGGACGACGUCAGAUCAUCAUGCCCCUUAUGACCUGGGCUACACACGUGCUACAAUGGACGGUACAACGAGUCGCAAGCUCGCGAGAGUAAGCUAAUCUCUUAAAGCCGUUCUCAGUUCGGACUGUAGGCUGCAACUCGCCUACACGAAGUCGGAAUCGCUAGUAAUCGCGGAUCAGCAUGCCGCGGUGAAUACGUUCCCGGGCCUUGUACACACCGCCCGUCACACCAUGGGAGUUUGUAACGCCCAAAGUCGGUGGCGCUAACCUUUAUGGAGGGAGCCGC
rnacentral:rRNA from 1 species